UACGUAGGCAGCGAGCGUUGUUCGGAGUUACUGGGCGUAAAGAGUGUGUAGGUGGUUCUCUAAGUUUGGUGUGAAAUCUCCCGGCUCAACUGGGAGGGUGCGCCGAAAACUGGAGGGCUUGAGUAUGGGAGAGGAAAGCGGAAUUCCUGGUGUAGCGGUGAAAUGCGUAGAUAUCGGGAGGAACACCUGUGGCGAAAGCGGCUCACUGGACCACAACUGACGCUGAGGCGCGAAAGCUAGGGGAGCAAACAGG
rnacentral:rRNA from 1 species